rnacentral:rRNA from 1 species
UGGGGAAUCUUGGACAAUGGGCGCAAGCCUGAUCCAGCCAUGCCGCGUGGAUGAUGAAGGCCUUAGGGUUGUAAAAUCCUUUCGUGGGGGACGAUAAUGACGGUACCCCAAGAAGAAGCUCCGGCUAACUUCGUGCCAGCAGCCGCGGUAAUACGAAGGGGGCUAGCGUUGUUCGGAUUUACUGGGCGUAAAGCGCGUGUAGGCGGGUCGUUAAGGUUGGGGGUGAAAUCCCGAGGCUCAACCUCGGAACUGCCUUUGAUACUGGCAAUCUAGAGUCCGGAAGAGGUUAGUGGAAUUCCCAGUGUAGAGGUGAAAUUCGUAGAUAUUCGCAGGAACACCAGUGGCGAAGGCGACUUGCUGGACUUAUGGUGACGCUGAGACGCGAAAGCGUGGGGAGCAAAACAGGAUUAGAUACCCCCGUAGUCCCUGAGCGGGCUGGCAAGGCGCAU